CAGGGGGUAGCAUAAGGGUUAGUGCGCUUUAAAGUAUCUAAUGAUACUUACAAUCUAAUUAUUUGGAUUUUGGAUAUCUAGAGAUAAAGGUUCGAUUCCUUUCCCCCUGA
rnacentral:tRNA from 1 species